rnacentral:rRNA from 1 species
GACGAACGCUGGCGGCGUGCCUAAUACAUGCAAGUCGAACGCGUCUACGUUAAUGAAAUCAAUGUGCUUGCACGGCGAUGGAUUUAACAUUAGACGAGUGGCGAACUGGUGAGUAACACGUGGGUAACCUGCCCUCAAGCAGGGGAUAACACUUGGAAACAGGUGCUAAUACCGUAUAACAACAAAAACCGCAUGGUUUUUGUUUGAAAGAUGGUUUCGGCUAUCACUUGAGGAUGGACCCGCGGCGUAUUAGCUAGUUGGUGAGGUAAUGGCUCACCAAGGCAAUGAUACGUAGCCGACCUGAGAGGGUAAUCGGCCACAUUGGGACUGAGACACGGCCCAAACUCCUACGGGAGGCAGCAGUAGGGAAUCUUCCACAAUGGGCGCAAGCCUGAUGGAGCAACGCCGCGUGAAUGAAGAAGGUCUUCGGAUCGUAAAGUUCUGUUAUUAGAGAAGAACACGUGUAAGAGUAACUGAUUAUGCGUUGACGGUAUCUAAUCAGCAAGUCACGGCUAACUACGUGCCAGCCGCCGCCGUAAAAC